UUGAAGAGUUUGAUCAUGGCUCAGAUUGAACGCUGGCGGCAGGCCUAACACAUGCAAGUCGAACGGUAGCACAGAGAGCUUGCUCUCGGGUGACGAGUGGCGGACGGGUGAGUAAUGUCUGGGAAACUGCCUGAUGGAGGGGGAUAACUACUGGAAACGGUAGCUAAUACCGCAUAACGUCGCAAGACCAAAGAGGGGGACCUUCGGGCCUCUUGCCAUCAGAUGUGCCCAGAUGGGAUUAGCUAGUAGGUGGGGUAACGGCUCACCUAGGCGACGAUCCCUAGCUGGUCUGAGAGGAUGACCAGCCACACUGGAACUGAGACACGGUCCAGACUCCUACGGGAGGCAGCAGUGGGGAAUAUUGCACAAUGGGCGCAAGCCUGAUGCAGCCAUGCCGCGUGUAUGAAGAAGGCCUUCGGGUUGUAAAGUACUUUCAGCGGGGAGGAAGGUGUUGCGGUUAAUAACCGCAGCAAUUGACGUUACCCGCAGAAGAAGCACCGGCUAACUCCGUGCCAGCAGCCGCGGUAAUACGGAGGGUGCAAGCGUUAAUCGGAAUUACUGGGCGUAAAGCGCACGCAGGCGGUCUGUCAAGUCGGAUGUGAAAUCCCCGGGCUCAACCUGGGAACUGCAUUCGAAACUGGCAGGCUAGAGUCUUGUAGAGGGGGGUAGAAUUCCAGGUGUAGCGGUGAAAUGCGUAGAGAUCUGGAGGAAUACCGGUGGCGAAGGCGGCCCCCUGGACAAAGACUGACGCUCAGGUGCGAAAGCGUGGGGAGCAAACAGGAUUAGAUACCCUGGUAGUCCACGCCGUAAACGAUGUCGACUUGGAGGUUGUGCCCUUGAGGCGUGGCUUCCGGAGCUAACGCGUUAAGUCGACCGCCUGGGGAGUACGGCCGCAAGGUUAAAACUCAAAUGAAUUGACGGGGGCCCGCACAAGCGGUGGAGCAUGUGGUUUAAUUCGAUGCAACGCGAAGAACCUUACCUACUCUUGACAUCCAGAGAACUUUCCAGAGAUGGAUUGGUGCCUUCGGGAACUCUGAGACAGGUGCUGCAUGGCUGUCGUCAGCUCGUGUUGUGAAAUGUUGGGUUAAGUCCCGCAACGAGCGCAACCCUUAUCCUUUGUUGCCAGCGGUCCGGCCGGGAACUCAAAGGAGACUGCCAGUGAUAAACUGGAGGAAGGUGGGGAUGACGUCAAGUCAUCAUGGCCCUUACGAGUAGGGCUACACACGUGCUACAAUGGCGCAUACAAAGAGAAGCGAACUCGCGAGAGCAAGCGGACCUCAUAAAGUGCGUCGUAGUCCGGAUUGGAGUCUGCAACUCGACUCCAUGAAGUCGGAAUCGCUAGUAAUCGUAGAUCAGAAUGCUACGGUGAAUACGUUCCCGGGCCUUGUACACACCGCCCGUCACACCAUGGGAGUGGGUUGCAAAAGAAGUAGGUAGCUUAACCUUCGGGAGGGCGCUUACCACUUUGUGAUUCAUGACUGGGGUGAAGUCGUAACAAGGUAACCGUAGGGGAACCUGCGGUUGGAUCACCUCCUU
rnacentral:rRNA from 1 species